rnacentral:lncRNA from 10 species
CUAGACUAACCAAGAAAGAAGAGAGAAGCCUCGAAUAAAUGAAACCGAAAAUGAAAGAGAAGAUGAUACAACUGAUACCUCAGAAACACAAAGGAUUGUGGUUUUGUUUCAUUGUUAUUCCACAUCUGAAUUAAUCCAAGCUGUUGAUAACAAAGGAAAGAGGUGAAGAAAUAUAAGUUGAUUAGCCUAAACCCAUUCCUACUGUGAAAAAGAGCAUGUAGCCAGCCUGUGAGCAAUGGGGGCCAUUGAUUUGAACUGAGCUGCUGCACCAGGCCAACAGACCAAAAUGGAGUCACUCAUGCUGAAGUUCCACAUCACCAAACUGAAACUAAGUUGUCUAUCAGACCUUCUAAGAAGUCAGGAGACAGAGGGAGAUAAUAGCCAAGUCAUCAAACAGGCCAGUUUUAGCCAGCAUGAUUUUUAAAACAUCUCCUUUGUUUAUCUUUUACAAAAAAAGUAACUUUGAAAUGACCAACCGACUUUUUGUAUUCUGUUUCUGCUUUUCUCAGCCCUUUUCUGGCUUUAAAAGAAAACUCCUCUGCUCAGCUCAUCAGAACACUCAUUCUGUUUUAUGGAAUGAAAUGUUGCUUGAUCUGACGUUUGCAAAUAAA